AAAAUCACUCAUCCUCCCUAACCCUAAGCGCCGUCUCAGACCCUUUGUCGAUUCUCUUCCUCUCCCCCACCUUCCUAAACGCUCUCAGUUAAUCUCCUUUAUCAAGCGUACAAAGAAUCUUCCUAAAUGUCUUCAGAUGCUGCUGUUGCGCAAUGCCUUCGACGCUCUUCGCCUCGGUCGAUCGUCGCAGUUCGUUGUCGCUCGGCUUCUCCGUUUUUGGGACUCGGAAAAUAUGAAGAACAUGGUGAAUUCAUGGAAUCACUCUACUUAUCCUUGAUGAGAAGGUAUUGUAACAAGAAGCAUCUUAUUUUAUUUUUUAUCUUAAUUUUGUUUUCGAAUAGCCCCAAUAAUUUAAAUCGUCUAACUGUAUCUGUUUGCCAUGCUGCAUAAAGUAAGAUAUGUAGCUUGAAAUUUGAGGAAAUGUUUUAGUAUUACAGGACCUCCUAUAGUCUCAAAG
rnacentral:lncRNA from 1 species